ensembl:lncRNA
GACUCCUCUGGACAUGAACUCAGGACCUUUUUCAAGGUGAUUAAUUCAGCUUUCUGAACAGAAGUCCCAGCAACUGGAGUUUUCAGCAGAUGUCUGGUGCCACUUGAUUGAUGAAUCAUAGCAGACCGGAUCUUGCCUCUGGAUCCAGAGGUAUAUAGGAAAAAACUUUUCAUCUUCUGGGCCUGACAGCCAGUCUCCACCCAAGUUGCCAUGGAAACCACAGGAACCUGAGAACUGCUGUGGAGACCACAGGGAACUGUUUACUUCGUGGACUACAGACCAACUUCUGUUAUUUUAAUUAAUACCUGACUCCUAGAUUAUAAUUGAUUCUUCCCAGAUUUCUGACUACAUUGAAGCUAAGCUUGAGAGCUAGAAAACAGACCUAGCUCCUUACCCCAAGGAAGUAUUGCUCUACAUGGCUACUGGUGUCCUGGAACUUACCAUGUGAAUCAAGAUGGCCUCAAACUCAGAGAUGCAUUUGUAUGUCUCCAAAACACACCACUAGGUCCAGG